CAACUCUUGGGGUCGCACCUGGAGAGUUUCCUGUCCUCUACCAGUCUCUGCUAUGGGAGGGAAAAUCAAGCAGAGGCCUACCCAUUCCAUUUCUAGCUUGGGCAAUGGCUAGCAAGUGGAAGGCCAUCUACUACAAGU